CAUAAACUUUAUGAAAUAGUUUGAAUGUGUUCAAUGGUUAGUAUUAUGUAAUGUGUUGUUAAUAUGUUGAUGUUAUUAUUGGCUGUGAUAUUACAUCUCUGUCAUCACCUCGAGAAUCUCCACACCUGCAUAAACCACGAGAAUCGCGUCUCUGAACCAGCAACCCAGCACUAACGUCGCUAAUCACCAAGCUCACCGUCGCCGGCGCGCUGUUGUAAGUCGCGUGAUCACUGCUACCCUCUCACACUUUAAUCGGACGUCGCCGCCGCUCCAGAUCCGCGUUCGUCCUCCAGCCGCCGAAGCCUCCGCGCCUCUCGGAGGAGGGACCAUGGUUGCCCUUCUCUUUCUGUUUGAAGAAGAGAAGCCAUUCUCUCGCCGUGGAAGAAGAAACCGAAAACAGAGAAGAGGCUCACUGCUCCCUCUGUUUCUGCUGAAGAAUGAAAAACCCUAACGAAGGGUUUGGGCUUUGGCCCAUUUUGGUUUCUGAAACUCUAAAAGGAGUUUGGGCUUUGGCCCUUUGUUUCUUUUUCGAAAAAAAUAAAAAUCUAAAAAGAGAUAAGUGAGUUACUCCCUACACCACUGUCACGAACUACUCCUUGCAUUUUCCAUUCCUCUUUUGCCUUUUAUAAUAUUUAAUUUCUUAUGGUUAAAACAUCUUAACUUUCACCAACAUCCACCCCUUCAUUCAUAUUUCAUUAAUAAUCCCUAUGCAUCUCCACACCCCACCACUUUCCCAGAAAUCAGAUUUCUCUUACCCCACCACUUUUCCGGAAAUCAGAUUUCUCUUGUUUUCCUUCUCCCUCUAACUGUUUUAUUGUGAUUAUUGUUUGUUGUGAGUGUGGUGGUGUAAUGUGGUGUGCUUGGUUGGAGGUGGCAAAGCUUAGUGGUGGUGCAAGAAGGUGGUCCAGUGGUGGCAGAGUUUGGUCUUGGUGGUGGUGUUUGAAGGUGGUCCAUGGUGGUGGCACGCACCAGGAGCUAGCUUCACAGGAUCACAUGGCUCUCAUAAUGAUGCGAACCAUCAACCAAACUUGUUGUCUUAUAUAAUAACUAAAUGAUUAAUUUGAGCCAAACGCGCCGCAACUGUGAGGUUUAAUCUAUUUCAGUGUUUUUUCUUUUCCUUCUGGUACAAGUUUCUUGUCUCUUAUCAUCUGCCUAAAUCAUUAGCAAGCAACAAUGGCCAGUUCUUUCCCUCGCUCACUGACCAGUAUAGCCAACACUGCUCUUCACCACACCAGAUCCGAGCAGCUGAAUGGCAUAGUUUCCAACUCAGUGACACGGCUCCUCUGCACAUCUUCAACUCAGCUGCAACAAGAAAACCCUGUCAAGAAACAAGCACAAUCACCUCAAGAAUCACUCCAUGAUGAGAUCAAACAAAUCCAUGAGCAGGAAGAAGAUAACGAAGAUGGUGACAGUAUCAACAAAGAAACUGGUGAGAUCGGUGGACCCAAAGGACCUGAGCCUACUAGGUAUGGUGAUUGGGAACGCAAUGGUCGCUGCUCUGAUUUUUAAGUUUUUACUUUGCUUGUAUAUCUUAGAUAAUGGUUGAGCUUGGAUCACUUUAUGCACACCCACCUCAAACUAAAAUCAUGUCACAUUGAAGGAAAGAGAUGGUGCCUUUCACUUUGAGGCGCGUCCAAUUCCUAUAAGGUCAAAUAAUCCUAAACAUGCAUAUAAUUUAAUUUCAAUAAUAUUAUACGAUUUUUCUA